ACGAGGCAUUCAUAACUAUGGGAUACGCAUGUUACUCUUGCCUAGGAUUUACUUAACACAAUCGUGACUAACGACUUUUACUACUUAUGAAUAUAAGUUAAUAACGAUUAGGUGAAAUUCCCUUAUAUCCUAGCAUCAAGUUUAUGCAUGCAAAUUAAGUGUCGACCCUCAACCCACAUACAUAAACAAGUUAUCAAUCAAAUAGAUAAGUAAACCACAUUCACGAUUUAUGAAAUCAUAAUUGGAAGAAAUCAAAUCAUAUAAAACAUAUGUCCAUGGCUUCA
rnacentral:lncRNA from 1 species